CCGCAAAGUGCCUGUGGACCUGAGGUUCGAAAACGGGCGACCUAGGACACACAACGACGAUUAUUCACUUUGGGCUGUCGGCGUUCUGUGUUGGAUUUUGUCGUGCUGAGCCAUUGGGCUGAUGUUUUAUACCGAACAAACGAGGAAGAUAGCGAAGCAAACAACAACAACCUUCGGGGCCAACAACGAGUUUGGGUGGAAGGGGGAGAAGAAACAGAGUGCCGCGAGCUGGAUGAUGGCAAUAAGAACAAUAAUAACCAGGAAGAGUAAUAAUAGUAAUCAUCGAAGCAGAAUAAGAUCAUACGGGAUUACAGCUAGAUGC
rnacentral:sRNA from 2 species